GACGAACGCUGGCGGCGUGCUUAACACAUGCAAGUCGAACGGAAAGGCCCUGCUUUUGUGGGGUGCUCGCGUGGCGAACGGGUGAGUAACACGUGAGUAACCUGCCCUUGACUUUGGGAUAACUUCAGGAAACUGGUGCUACUACCGGAUAGGAGCUCCUGCUGCAUGGUGGGGGUUGGAAAGUUUCGGCGGAUGGGGAUGGACUGGGGGGUUAUCAGCUUGUUGGUGGGGUAGUGGCUUACCCAGGCAUCGGCGGGUAGCCGGCCUGGGAGGGUGACCGGCCACCAUGGGACUGAGGUAGGGCCCAGACUCCUACGGUAGGCAGCAGGGGGGAAUAUUGCACAAUGGGCGGAAGCCUGAUGCAGCAACGCCGCGUGCGGGAUGACGGCCUUCGGGUUGUAAACCGCUUUCGCCUGUGACGAAGCGUGAGUGACGGUAAUGGGUAAAGAAGCACCGGCUAACUACGUG
rnacentral:rRNA from 1 species